rnacentral:sRNA from 1 species
GUGCGUUAGGGAUGGAAGUGGCAUCCUUUUUUAUUUUUCUUAAAAAAGAUAUAACGGACAGCCUGUUAAAAC